GAUGAACGCUGGCGGCGUGCCUAAUACAUGCAAGUCGAGCGAAUGGAUUAAGAGCUUGCUCUUAUGAAGUUAGCGGCGGACGGGUGAGUAACACGUGGGUAACCUGCCCAUAAGACUGGGAUAACUCCGGGAAACCGGGGCUAAUACCGGAUAACAUUUUGAACCGCAUGGUUCGAAAUUGAAAGGCGGCUUCGGCUGUCACUUAUGGAUGGACCCGCGUCGCAUUAGCUAGUUGGUGAGGUAACGGCUCACCAAGGCAACGAUGCGUAGCCGACCGGGGAGGGUGGUCGGCCCCACUGGGACUGAGACACGGCCCAGACUCCUACGGGAGGCAGCAGUAGGGAAUCUUCCGCAAUGGACGAAAGUCUGACGGAGCAACGCCGCGUGAGUGAUGAAGGCUUUCGGGUCGUAAAACUCUGUUGUUAGGGAAGAACAAGUGCUAGUUGAAUAAGCUGGCACCUUGACGGUACCUAACCAGAAAGCCACGGCUAACUACGUGCCAGCCGCCGCGGUAA
rnacentral:rRNA from 1 species